ACCUCGGCGAUAGCUCAGUGGGUAAAGCGCCAGGUGAGAAGAUUGCGAAUCCGCGCGGGUUCGAAUCCCGCCUGUGGCA